GGCCCUCAGCGGGGAUUCACUGUUAUACUUGGAGGCCAUGUCACCUGAGAGUCAAUGGGCAACGAUCAAAUUUCACCUUGAGCAGGAACAACAGCACUCGAUGUUAGAGUUGUUGUGAAGAUUAAAGCAGGUGAUGAUUGGACAACCCCUGGCCCAAUACCUGAAACUGUACCAGCACCCAGUGAGCAUUGCUAUUCCUGUGACUGCUACACAUUUACCUUAUCUCAGCAGUGAGCCUGUGUCACUUUUUUGUGAAGAGAACAUCCCGUGUACUAUCGUGUAGAAGUUGUAGUAGACGCUGUGGUCUUUCCAACAACAAACAAACCUCGUGCCAGCAACUUAAAUUCAUCAGUGAUGGAGAAUACCUGGCAUUGACUUCUGCAUGAGUGCCCUUUUAGUUGCUUUGUAUUCUUCUGCCUUGAUUUCUUUUCUGUUUUUCUACAUAAGUGUUGCCUGCAGAGUUCCCUGAUUGACUCAAAGUACAUCUUCUAUAUUGCUUCAAGUAGUGCUGGUCAUGAACACAAUUCAGUCUUAGUCAGCUAUUGGAACUGAGUGACUGCAAAGUUCUGAUGCCUCUUCUCGCAGCCCAGGGCAGAUGGACGUGCUAUGUGGGGCCCGUACAAAACAGAAUCAUGGAGCUGAUGGGGCAAGGAGUCAACCUCCCUCCUAGGGCCUGCAGCUUCCACCAGGGCAGAGAGCAAGUUUCUCUCAGCUUCUGCUCUCAGGUGGUGAUCUGGCAGGGAGAACAGCUUGGCAGUAGGUGCAGGCAUUGGAUGGGGACCUCCUGGCUCCUCCCUCAGCUCUGCCAGCACCAGCCAUAAGGCACUCAGAUCAUGCAACUUCCCUGUGUCUCCGUCUCUGCAUCUUUAAAAUGGGGCUAAUAAGAACACUUUUCUCAUAGACUUAUAAAGAGAAUUAAUAAGAAAAAUGAUAAAAUAAUGCUUGGCUCAUAAUGUGCACUCCAUGAACAUCAGCUGUUACCACUUAAGAAGGGUGCGUACCCUCCAGCCUCAUCCAUGCCAGUUCCCGUUGUCUCACCCUGGGCUGGCGACACCCAUCUUAAGUCACAAUUGGGAAUACAAGCAAGUCACGCUGAAAUCUGCCAGAGUAAAGGUCCAUCUUCACAGAACAAGCCUGUUUACACUUGAACCCACAGUUUCUCGGUCAUAUCCAGACUUCAAGGAGGGAAGAGAGCUCCACCGCAGGCUUCCUGUAGCAAGCAUGGGGGCCAUGUCUGAGUCCCCUGUGGCGUUCUGUCACCAUAGACUGUGACUUUCAAACAACACAGUCACUUCUUACAGUGCUAGAGGUCAGAAGUCCCAGAUCAAGGUGCUGGCAGAUCUGGUAUCUGCUGCUGGGAUAGGACCCAGGAGGUUCCGGAGGAUCAGGAGGUCCACCUGGGAGAAGAGCUGAUCGGUUAGCAGGAGAGCUGGAAAAGCAACAGACACCUCCUUAGUCCCUUCCCUGGGGCCCGGCUCCAGUCUGAGCUGUCAGGCCACAGCAAAGGCAUCACUUCAGGACAGCAAAGCCCCUGUCUCCCUCCCUUCCAGCUCCUCAGACUUCACCCUGGUAACACGUUUGUUUAAAAAAUAUAUUUUUCCCCCUCGCAAAGAAUCUAGGAUACACAGGGUCAGCCCAGAAGUUUAGGUAUCCCAAAGAAACUGCUCUCGGAGCUAAAAUAAGAAACAGUGCCUGUCUAUAGCGCAAAUAAAGAGUUGGAACAAGAU